rnacentral:tRNA from 1 species
GGUCGGGAUAGCUCAGCUGGUAGAGCAGAGGACUGAAAAUCC